rnacentral:antisense_RNA from 1 species
CUCAAUGGCGGCUGUGCGUGGGAGACCUCAGGGUCUGCCGGUUUUUCUUAGGCUUUUUCCGGUUCGCCAACCCGCGUACAGCUGCCACCCCA